CGCUAACGCUGAAUAACUAACCGUUGAUCACCCGUUGAUCUAACCGUCACCAGAGCAAUGGAGGACACAAAGGACCACAUCAUCCACAGACACAGAGGCAGCGAUGAGCACAGCUCCACUACUACACAUCAGAGACGUUUUAUUGAAAGUAACGAGGAUGCUGCAGUUCUUGUAGAAGAGACUCAACCUCCUGUGCAGUUAUUGAGACAAAUGUGUUUCCAGUUUCAGAUGGGGCGAGGUCCAGGGACAAGACAUCAGCUGUGUGACCAUGGAAACUCUGAAGCAGCUGCCCGCUCUCCACAUCCCACAAGGCACAUGUGCCAUCACCGCUGGAGGUAUACAGUAUAGGCCUACCUGUGAAGAGCUGACUAGACGACGUUUGUCUUUGCACCAGUCCAUACACAGCACCUUGUUGCUAUGACCCUUCAGCACACGUCUGGUCUUUAUGGAGAGAGCACCCAACACCUCAAUCUUCUCAGCCACCUGGUUCACUGAGGCUCGCCACGGAUUCCCCUGCUGUGAGCCCCUGACAAGCCAUCUUUAGAGAGGAAAACAACAACAACAACAACACACUCAGAGAAGGAGAGAAACGAGGGGAGAAAUGAUGCGAGAGGAGGACGAGCGCGACAGUGAUGCUGCGCCGCGCGUGUCACUCUCAUCUCGUGCUCUGCUUCAGUGUGUCAUCCCCCCCGCCCCCCUACUCCAUCCUCCACAUUUAAACAGGCACCACAGACAUUUACACACUGCUAGUCCUACAGUAUAAAUUCACAUAGUUCAAUUAGUGUAGGAGAGUUCAUUUUAAAAAAAAAAAAAAAAAAAAACUCUAAUACUAGGACCACAAUUUAAAGCUUAAGUAGGCAGAAUAUUUUUGGCAUCAUUGGGCAAAAAUGCCAUAAUUACCUUUCAGCAUAUUGUAAUUCAAGUGUUCUGAGAGAAAACUAGACUUCUGCACCUCCUCAUGGCUCUGUUUUCAGACUUUAGAUAAUCUAGCCAGUGACAGAUUUCGGCCAAUCACAGGUCAUUUCAGAGAGAGAGAGAGCGUUCCUAUUGGCUGUGCUCCAGCUGGUGGGCGGUGCUUGGUAUUUUCUCAACUGGUCUCAUGCAAGCCCCCAGGGAGUGUGCAGGUCAAUGAUCCGGACUUUCGUAGUGGCCAAAUGGCGGUACUGCAACCUCCGUGUCAGUCCCGUGAUGCCGUUGGGCCCAAAAAGACUUUUUCCCAUAGACUUACAUUGGGAAUGAGACGUCUGUAACUCAGCGGAUAAUUUUUUUUUAGAUGAAUCAACUUCCCAGUACGAACACUGUAAUAGCCCUUAUUCAAAAGAUUAAGUUUGUUUAAUGUUUAAAGUUGUAAAAUGCA